rnacentral:lncRNA from 1 species
AGCCGCAGGAACAUGGAUCUCAUGCAGAAAAACCAGGAAGAUUUCAAGGCCUUUGCUCAUGUUCUGGCCAGAGACAGGGAUGUACGUGAGACUUACAUUCGGGUUAGUGGAAAAAAAAACUACUUUGAAUGGUACAUUACUUAUAUCAGCACUAGUUUGCAUCAGUCCCAGAUCCUCAAAUCAAAUGUGGCUUUUUAUCUUUGUAGGAUUUAAUGGAGGAGCAAUAUGGUGAACGCUAUGCACAGAAACUGGAGGAGAGACUUGUACACUAUUUGGAAGAGCUAAAUAAAGUCCUGCCACAACCAACAUAUAUUGAACAGGUACUGAAGCAGUCCCAUUCAUAUGGGACAGGAGAGAAGAUCCUAAAAAAAAUACUUUCAAGGGAUAGUGCAUCUCUAGCCACAGUUCUGAAGAGACUCUUGCAUUGCGCUGUAGCAACAAAUCAGAGCCUUGACGACAGUCUCUCACCAUCACUUUCAAACACCUGUGAGGUACAAAGGGACGCUGAAGUUGUUAAAGCAUCCAAUGGCACCCAAAGGUCAUCUCAGAACAACACAAAGGAGAAUCGACUCUCACAAACCAGCGAAAAAGAACCGCUUGGUUCUCAGGGCUUGUGGCAGAAAAGAAACACAGAAACUGCUUCACCUCGGGAGAAGAUUUGUGGUGAUGGAGUAAUUGUUACGUCCACGCAGUUGUCAGAUUCUGAAACAGAUCAGAUUGACUUCAGCCAGUCUCUUCUGGUUGGGACACACAGACAGAAGAAAACUCAAUCUGAACCAGAACAGAAGGAAAGUGAGACUGCCUUUCCAGAGCAGGUCUGCUCCAGACAUGGCAAAAAAAUGAGGAGCAUCCUUCAGGAAUGUUCUGAAGAGCUUGAUGGAGGAGUCGUACAAGCAGAAUGCACCCCGACAUCAAGCCAGAGCACUCCACCUCUUCUCCCGUACACACCACAACCUCAAGCAUCUCCAAACCAGCACUCGUUGUCCUCUGACCCAGAUUCAUCCACUACAAACAUUUCACUGUCCUUCAUCAGGCAGGUCAGUCUUUCACCAGUGUCUUCAAAGAGUCCUGUUGCUCCUUCACCUUCAGUUCUCCAGCAGACCUCAGCCUCAAAGCAACUUGCAGGACAGAUUUUAGCUACCGUUUUCUUCACCGAACCAAGCAGAACUGAUGAACACAAUCUGAAACUGUCCUUAGAGAGUCAAACCUUCCUAAUGCAGUCCAAGUGGCUUCAACCUCAAGUGUGCCUUACUAGACUAAGCAAGGAAGAAUGUGCCAGAGCCAUGGAUUCAUACAGAGCCCGUGACAUUUUAGAAGGAGAGCAAGAACCUGAAGAUGAUCAUCAAUACAUGUUAUUUGAUGUAAAUACAUUGUAUUCUGAUUCAUACUCCGAAGACUCAACAGACUCUGAUGACCCUGAUUACAAGCCUGACUCGAGGAAAUCAAAAAGAAAGUCCCGGUGAAUGUAGUCUUCAUCAUGUUUUACAGAUGACACAGAUUUUAGCAUUUUGCUUUGGAUGUUUGAAUUAACUCGCAUUAGGGUUGAGAAAAUAUGCAGCUUUUUUACAUUAUUUUACCUCAUCGGUUUCCUUCAUGGAGGUCAGAUGAUUAAAGCUCUUGAUGGUCAGCAAAUCAGUCUUUCACCAGUGUCCUCAAAGAAACCAGUUACCCCUUAAUCUUCAGUUCACCAACAGUUCUCCUCACAAUUUCAGUCCAUUGUCUCAAAGCAACUUGACAUUUAAAGAAUCAACACAGGGCAGAUUUGAGCUACCAUUGUCUUCACAGAACCAGAGAACACAAUCUGAGACUAUACUCAAAAGCUUCCUUAUGCAAUCCAAGUGGCUUCAACCUCAACCAUGCCUUCACAGAUUGAGCAAGGAAGAAUGUGUAAGAGCCAUGGAUUCAUACAGAGCCUGUGACAAUUUAGAAGAAGCUUUUCACCUUAUUUUACCUCGUCAUUUACCUCACGGUAGUUUUUCACCAGUGUCCUCAAAGGAACCAGUUGCUCCUUCACCUUGAGUCCACCAAUAGUUCUCCUCAUCAUCUCAAUCCACAGCCUCAAAACAACUAGUCACUCCAGGAAUCAGUGCAGGAUGGAUUUUAUCCACUAUUGUCUCCACCCAACCAAGCUGAACCAAUGAACACAAUCUGAAACCGUCCUAGAGAGUCAAAGCUUCCUCAUGAAGUCCAUGUGGCUUCAACAGUCUAAGCAUAUUUUCUGUAUUUUAGGACAACAAUAGCCUGAAGAUUAUCAAUACAUGUUAUAUGAUGUAAAUGCACUGUAUUCUGAUUUAUACUCAGAAUAUUCAUGACUUGAUUACAAGCCUAACGGAGACUAACUCAGGUGCCAGUGAACAUGGUCUGCAACAUAUUUUAGAUGCAUAGCUACUCUAACAUUGAGUUUGGCCCUUUACUUAGGAUGUUUGAAUGAACUCACAUUAGGGUUGGGAAGCUAUGCAACUUGUUACCUCAUCGUUUACCUCAUAAAGGUCAAAAUGCUUGCCUUAAACCUCAUGAAGGUCAAUGACAAAAUAUUUGUGUCCAGUAUGUCUUUUGUAAUCAGUCAUUUUAGACUCCUGUUGCCCUGGAUGUCCUAUGAAGUAUGAGUAUAUAACUCUAAAAAACAUGGUUUCCAAUGUGGAACACUGUUUGCUGUUGGUUGAGUGACGCGUAUGCUGGGUCAGGGGUUUCGCUGGGUCUUUUUUGACUGUUUUUUGCCUAUAAGGUUGUGUUGUUCCUACUGAAUAGCAGGUCUGAAGUGUUUUAAGGUUGGUCUUAACUUCACUAAUUCAGUGUUAUGUGUGUACGUGCUGGUUUCUUAAAUGGGUGGUUAUGCCAAGUACAAAAAAACAAACAUGAAAGAGGGUUGUGGGUUUAAAGUUCUGACUUUUAUUUACCUGACUUGAGUGUAAAUUUGACUUGAUGUUAUUGCAAACUAAUUUGUCAAUAUUGCAUCAGAUAUAGUGCACUCAUUCAUGCGUGCUGUCAGGUAGAAAAAAAAUGGAAUCUAAUGUCUGUAGGUGUUUUGGAUAAUGACGAUUGUUUGAGCUUGAAAGAGUUACAUAAUCCAAGUGACAGCAUUUUUUUUUUCUAAUUUAUUUUUAAGCCAUUUGACUUUUAUUAAAGCAGUAAUUCACCCAAAACGAAAGUUGUCAUUAUUUUGUCAUUAUUUACCUCAUGUAGUUGUCUUUUCUUACUGUCAAACAAGAAUUAAAAAUGUUUGAUUUAUCAAGUUUAUGAAAAGAUCUUUGAACUUGAUGUCCCUUUAUAGAAACAUUGCAUGAACAACUUUUGGGUUGAACAUUUUUAUGAUUAUGAGAGACCCCAAGACUUUGAUUUUCCAUAUUUUGUAUAGCUGGAAGAAGGCUUUUCACAGACUUAAUCAUUUUACUUGCAUAAUAGCAGAAUAGUUGCAGUGUUAGCACCAAUAAAACAACCCCAGUGCACGCAAAAACGUGCAUGAGUUUAAGUUAUGUAAGACAGAUGUGGAGACCAGCCUCUUUCAUUCUCAUUACAGAUGAGAGAAUACUCUCUAAAUGAUGCUUGAUUAACAGUCUAGAAAGUCUGAAAUACAGCCUUAAACCUAAACGACUUCUCUCAUGAUAAAAGUGCGCUCUAAACAGGUGCGACUGAUAAAAUAAUAAUUUUAAUGUAACCAGGUCAAAAAGUUACAAAAGUUAUCACUGGACUGAUUAGUAAAAGCUUGAUGUUAAGGGACUCAGCAUGUAUCACACUGUAGCAUGUUCCAUCCAAUACGCUAGCCCUUUAAGAAAUGUGAAUGUGUGACGUUCUGGAAGUGUCGCGAGAUUCGCCUGUAAACAGCGCGUUUUCAUAACGUGUUUUGAAUGCUGCUCAUGCGGUGGAGCGUCGAAGCCAUAAAACUCCGUAUUAUUAUCAAUAUAAUGAGAGAGAUGCACAUAUAGUGAUUGGAAAGCCUUCUUUAAUAUUUUGUUCAUGCGGAUGGCUGUGUAUUGUGCUGAGUGACCGUGAUUUCUGUCGAGACACGUACCCAUGUGACGAAAUCAGAUCGACAAUAGAUCUCGAAGCGUAAGUGUUGAACUAUCAUCAAUGCCAGUUUAUUAUUGAGAUAAUUUUGUUGUGCAUGAUGUGAUUUGAACAUUAAGUGAUUAGUGGUCAUCCUUGAUCGAUUAUAGAGGGGAGAAGAGAGCUCUGUAGGCCUUCUGUUUCCUCAGGCCGAGUGUGAAGCAACAGAGUGAGUGUUAUUAAUUAAUCCAUUCUAAAAAUUGUUUAAUACUCAUGCAUACGUGUGUUUUUUUGUAACCAGUAGAUUGUUACAGUUGUUCUGGUGUCGUGUUUUCCAAAUGUUAAGAACCAGUGUUGUAUUGUGUCUAUUACUGUCCACAGAGGGGAAAUUGAGUUCAUCAUUGGCUGUGAAAGCGUGUACAAUGCUAUGGUGAUGCUAUGAUGAUGAACAGUAAGUUUGAAUUAGUUGACGUUUAAAGUGUACAAGUGUUAAUUUACUGUGAUUUGAGAUUGAGUGAAUAUUAGCCAGUGUAAUGUAUUAAUGUUACUGGGAAAUGUGGCUUCUAAUUUCAUUUUUAUGCAUGUUAUGUUACAUAAGCAGCCUUAUUUGAUCUUCUAUGCAUGCUGACAAAUCUUGUAACACUCUGUGUAUUUGUUUUUCAGUAUAAGAGUCCACUAUCGUUGUCUAUGUUGGUUAUAUUCAUGUAAUUGACCUGUUAAUGUGGUGACUGAGAACAAAGAGACAAGAGAGUUUGAUGUAAAGAAAAAAUAACAUCUUUAUUGAUUUCAACCACUGUAACAAGCCUUACUGUGUAACACCCUUAAGAUUUGCAUAAUUAACGCUGCACUGUUAAGUGCAGUCUGGAAUAAACGAUCCCCUUAAAAAAAAUUAAUUCCUGUGUCCGGUGUAGUCACUAACACACCGGGCCACAGAGAAUUUUGGUACCAGGAGUGGGGUUCCAUUGCUAAUUUUGGGGUGACAGUCAGGUGGAUAAGGAGAAACAUAGACAACGGUAGUGGUGAAGAGGGGUCGAGUUAGCGGUGCCAAGGAGGUUGACGACGUGAAGUGGGACGUGCCUGGAGAGCCUGCGGUGAAGCACGGGACCAGCUUUCAGGAACGCAGGAGGGUGUUCACUUCGACGCUGAGAUCGUUGACAAAGGCGACCGCAGAAAAUAGCCCUUCAGGUUAAUCCGCUGUGACUGUGUUUUGUGACUGUGUGCCAUUCGAGGUAGAGACAUUGUAAGAGCAUGGACCAGGACGAUGAUGUGCCAGCGGCUCAGGCUGGAGCCAGCCGUGAUAUGGACAAUGCUGAGGCGGUGGGUCAUGAUGAUCUAGGUAAUCCAGUGGCAGAAUUGCAGUCACAAAUUUUGGAGCUAGGUCGAAGACACGACCAAGUCAUGUCAACCCUUGCUAAUAUGAGUAAUGUUGCCACUAGAUCUUAUGUUUACAUUCCAAGGGAACGUCAACUUAUGCCAUUCAGUGGUGAUCAUGUUAAAGAUGGUCAGUCUGUAGAUGAGUUCAUUGAUGAGGUUGAACGUGUAAUUCGGGUAAGGGGUUUGAACGUUGAUGACCAAGUUGAUUUCAUACUUUCACAUUUAAGAGGUUCAGCCUUAGAUGAAGUUAAGCUGUGUAUGGGUGGGGAGACCAAGCAACCCAGUGAUCUGUUUUCAUAUUUGCGGGGGGCAUUUAGAGAGAAACGUACUACACCACAGUUGUUACAUGCUUUUUAUGCACGCAGACAGCUAGAGGGAGAAGACUUCCGUGACUUUUCCCAUGCUCUCUCUCAGCUUCUUAAUUCUGCUCUCCAACAGUCCCAUUACGCUGUGUCUGAUUCCCAGCUGGCUUUAAGAGAUCAGUUCAUCGAAGGCAUAAGAGAUGCGACUCUGCGUAGAGAGCUGCGCAAGCUGGUCAGAGAAAAGCCUCAGUCCACCCUGUUUGAUGUCCGUGAAGAGGCCAUGAUGUGGGUUGUGGAGGACAGACCCCGUGGUGCUAAUGUGGCCAGGAGUCGAAAUAUCGUGAGUACAUGUUCUGGGGAGAUGUCAGAACAUUUAAAUCCCGCCAGUGCUGCACAAAGUGACAUGGCUUCAGCUUUGCAAGAGGUAGUAAAAGUUAUCACGCAGCAGGGUAAAGCUAUUGGAGAGCUCACUAAUGCAGUUCGUGAACUUGCUGUACAAAAGGGUGGUCCCAGUGGUAGCCAGAGUGGAAAGCCAAAGUUCAAGCCCAAGUAUACAGAUGACGGCCAACCCAUCUGUUUAAGAUGUGAAGGGGUGGGACAUGUAGCUAGGCAGUGUCCUGUACCACGUAGUUCCAAAGACCAGUCCACUGCCACCACAAGUUCUGCGUUACAGGGAAACGGGGUCCCU